UACGUAGGGUGCAAGCGUUAAUCGGAAUUACUGGGCGUAAAGCGUGCGCAGGCGGUUUCGUAAGUCUGUCGUGAAAUCCCCGGGCUUAACCUGGGAACCGCAUUUGUGACUGCAUAGCUGGAGUACGGCAGAGGGGGAUGGAAUUCCGCGUGUAGCAGUGAAAUGCGUAGAUAUGCGGAGGAACACCGAUGGCGAAGGCAGUCCCCUGGGCCUGUACUGACGCUCAUGCACGAAAGCGUGGGGAGCAAACAGG
rnacentral:rRNA from 1 species